ACCGCACAAGCGGCGGAGCGUGUGGUUUAAUUCGUUGCUACACGAAGAACCUUACCUGGGUUUGACAUAUAGGUUGUAGGGAACUGAAAAGGGACCGACCCUUCGGGGAGCCUAUACAGGUGUUGCAUGGCUGUCGUCAGCUCGUGUCGUGAGAUGUUCGGUUAAGUCCGCUAACGAGCGCAACCCUCGUCGUAUGUUAUAUGUGUCAUACGAGACUGCCGGUAAAAGCCGGAGGAAGGUGAGGAUGAUGUCAAGUCAGCAUGACCUUUAUAUCCAGGGCUACACACACGCUACAAUGGUCUGUACAAUGGGUAGCCAAGCCGCGAGGCGGAGCCAAUCCUGAAAGCAGGCCUCAGUUCAGAUUGCAGUCUGCAACUCGACUGCAUGAAGCCGGAGUUGCUAGUAACCGCAGGUCAGCAAUACUGCGGUGAAUACGUUCCCGGGUCUU
rnacentral:rRNA from 1 species